GACCAAGGGUUCCUGUCCAACGUUAAUCGGGGCAGGGUGAGUCGACCCCUAAGGCGAGGCCGAAAGGCGUAGUCGAUGGGAAACGGGUUAAUAUUCCCGUACUUGGUGUUACUGCGAAGGGGGGACGGAGAAGGCUAUGUUGGCCGGGCGACGGUUGUCCCGGUUUAAGCGUGUAGGUGUGUGUUCCAGGUAAAUCCGGUUCACUUUAACACUGAGGCGUGAUGACGAGGCACUACGGUGCUGAAGCAACAAAUGCCCUGCUUCCAGGAAAAGCCUCUAAGCAUCAGGUAACAUCAAAUCGUACCCCAAACCGACACAGGUGGUCAGGUAGAGAAUACCAAGGCGCUUGAGAGAACUCGGGUGAAGGAACUAGGCAAAAUGGUGCCGUAACUUCGGGAGAAGGCACGCUGACACGUAGGUGAAGUGAUUUACUCAUGGAGCUGAAGUCAGUCGAAGAUACCAGCUGGCUGCAACUGUUUAUUAAAAACACAGCACUGUGCAAACACGAAAGUGGACGUAUACGGUGUGACGCCUGCCCGGUGCCGGAAGGUUAAUUGAUGGGGUCAGCGCAAGCGAAGCUCCUGAUCGAAGCCCCGGUAAACGGCGGCCGUAACUAUAACGGUCCUAAGGUAGCGAAAUUCCUUGUCGGGUAAGUUCCGACCUGCACGAAUGGCGUAAUGAUGGCCAGGCUGUCUCCACCCGAGACUCAGUGAAAUUGAACUCGCUGUGAAGAUGCAGUGUACCCGCGGCAAGACGGAAAGACCCCGUGAACCUUUACUAUAGCUUGACACUGAACAUUGAGCCUUGAUGUGUAGGAUAGGUGGGAGGCUUUGAAGUGUGGACGCCAGUCUGCAUGGAGCCGACCUUGAAAUACCACCCUUUAAUGUUUGAUGUUCUAACGUGGACCCGUGAUCCGGGUUGCGGACAGUGUCUGGUGGGUAGUUUGACUGGGGCGGUCUCCUCCUAAAGAGUAACGGAGGAGCACGAAGGUUGGCUAAUCCUGGUCGGACAUCAGGAGGUUAGUGCAAUGGCAUAAGCCAGCUUGACUGCGAGCGUGACGGCGCGAGCAGGUGCGAAAGCAGGUCAUAGUGAUCCGGUGGUUCUGAAUGGAAGGGCCAUCGCUCAACGGAUAAAAGGUACUCCGGGGAUAACAGGCUGAUACCGCCCAAGAGUUCAUAUCGACGGCGGUGUUUGGCACCUCGAUGUCGGCUCAUCACAUCCUGGGGCUGAAGUAGGUCCCAAGGGUAUGGCUGUUCGCCAUUUAAAGUGGUACGCGAGCUGGGUUUAGAACGUCGUGAGACAGUUCGGUCCCUAUCUGCCGUGGGCGCUGGAGAACUGAGGGGGGCUGCUCCUAGUACGAGAGGACCGGAGUGGACGCAUCACUGGUGUUCGGGUUGUCAUGCCAAUGGCACUGCCCGGUAGCUAAAUGCGGAAGAGAUAAGUGCUGAAAGCAUCUAAGCACGAAACUUGCCCCGAGAUGAGUUCUCCCUGAGACUUUAGGUCUCCUGAAGGAACGUUGAAGACGACGACGUUGAUAGGCCGGGUGUGUAAGCGCAGCGAUGCGUUGAGCUAACCGGUACUAAUGAACCGUGAGGCUUAACCUUACA
rnacentral:rRNA from 1 species